AACCAUGUAAAAGAUCAAAACGUGCACGUGGAGACGACAAGGACUGAGGAAGGUCAUUUGCAAAUGGACUAAAGGCAGGCAUGACUUUCCCUCUUGAGGCCCCUCUAGGGGCUCUGUGUUCACCCCUGACCUAGCUUUGAAUCCGCCUUUGAUCCUUGAUCAGGACUCUGAAUUCCUUUUCCUGCUUGUUUUGUAUCCAGGAGGAAAGAUUUGUGACGCAGCUUUUAAGGCUACUGCUGGGCCUCGUUCCAUAAACAUGACUGUUCCCUGUGGAGUAGGAUUUUCAGCACCCCUGCCUUUCUUAUGCAAUUCCCUUUAGGGCAGAUAUUCCCUAGAAGGCCCACAGCCUCCUCCCUGGCUUGGCCUGAUGGAUCCCGGGUCAAAGAACAAGAGCAGAGGUCAUCAAAAGGUCAAGUCUAAUCUACCUACAGAUGUGGCAGGCUUAGCUAUGGAUGUUCAAGCCAGACAUUGCCAGGAGAACCACAUCUCUUCACCCAUAGCAUGGACUGUAGGAGAAAGCCCAGAGGAGCAAUGAAGACAAAGAAGACAUGACACCUGCAAAAAGUCAGUGGAGUAUUUCUACAUAAGAAACAUUCCAGGCUGCCAUGAUCCUCCCUCUGAACCCCAUGGUCAGUGUCGCUGCAGAGAUCCUCCCUUUGGACCCUGCCUGCCUGAAGGGCCCAUACCUUGAUCAGACGUCUUAGAACGACUGCCCUUAGCCAUGUCAUAAAAAGGAGAAAACAUCAUAUUUGACAACCCCAAUUCCUGCAUUAUACAGACAGGAAACUCAGGUGCACUUCUUUUCUGAUUGACUCCAAAUACUACAGCACCACACGCUUCUCAGUUGCGUGGAUGCACAUCUCCACUUCUUUGCAGGGAGGACGCACAACAGCAGAAUACCCGUGGCCUGACUUUCUGGAGCAUCAGUAUUACUACAAGAUUUGGAAAAACCAAAGUUAGGUCAUUUCCAAGGUAAAGAAUUAAAAACUUAAAACUAAGA